rfam:Spirochaetes bacterium RBG_16_49_21 RBG_16_scaffold_813, whole genome shotgun sequence.
GGAGAGUUGUCCGAGUGGCCGAUGGAGGCGGUCUUGAAAACCGUUGUGCCGAAAGGCACCGGGGGUUCGAAUCCCUCACUCUCCG